UACAGAGGGUGCAAGCGUUGCUCGGAAUUAUUGGGCGUAAAGGGUAGGUAGGUGGUCUUAUUUGUCUGGGGUGAAAGCCUUGAGCUUAACUCAAGAAGUGCCCCAGAAACGGUAAGACUAGAGUCUCGGAGAGGUUAGCGGAAUUCCCGGUGUAGCGGUGAAAUGCGUAGAGAUCGGGAGGAACACCAGCGGCGAAGGCGGCUAACUGGACGAGCACUGACACUCAACUACGAAAGCGUGGGGAGCAAACAGG
rnacentral:rRNA from 1 species